UGGCCCAGUUGGUAGAGCAUGGUGUUUGCAACGCCAAGGUUGUGGGUUCGAUUCCCAC
rnacentral:tRNA from 1 species